GUAGGGAAUAUUGGGCAAUGGUCGGAAGACUGACCCAGCCAUGCCGCGUGCAGGAAGACGGCCCUCUGGGUUGUAAACUGCUUUUAUCUGGGAAGAAAAAGGCCAUGCGUGGCAAAUUGCCGGUACCAGAUGAAUAAGCACCGGCUAACUCCGUGCCAGCAGCCGCGGUAAUACGGAGGGUGCGAGCGUUGUCCGGAUUUAUUGGGGUUAAAGGGUGCGUAGGCGGCUGAUUAAGUCAGCGGUGAAAGACUUCGGCUUAACCGGAGCAGUGCCGUUGAUACUGGUUGGCUUGAGUGUCGGAGUGGUACAUGGAAUUGAUGGUGUAGCGGUGAAAUGCAUAGAUACCAUCAGGAACACCGAUAGCGAAGGCAUUGUACUGGCCGACAACUGACGCUGAUGCACGAAAGUGUGGGGAUCGAACAGGAUUAGAAACCCUUGUAGUCC
rnacentral:rRNA from 1 species